GUAUGACUCACGGGGUUUUAGGGAAC
rnacentral:piRNA from 1 species